UCUUAUUCUUUUUUCUAGAGAAAACUGAAGCCUACACAAUUAUGAAUCUUGAUAUUGGUGGCUGCUGCUUAAUCCUCUGCCUCCAAGGAAGCUUAGUCAAUAUUAGUUUUCUGGGAGACAGAAACAAGCAGCUCUUUGGGUUUGAGGCCAGCCUGGUCUACAGUUAGACCCUGUCUCAAAAACAAAACAAAACAAAACAAACAAAACAAAAAACAAAAAAAACCACCUAAGUGCUGAGAUUACAGGUGUGCACACCAGGGCUUCAGCUGUUAGGAAAGCUGAAGUGAGAAGAGAUAACUUUCUUAAAGCCAAGACUUUAUAAACUCUCAUAUGUUCUUUUCCUUAGUCUCCAAGUUAUUUGUUCAGCUUCUGCCCUGAGUAUAGUCUCAAACACCUCUCUGGGUGUUGGUAGUAAUGCCAGUAAAGACCAUAGUGAGAAGUGUAGUGAGCGCCUACCUAGGCCAGUGGCCUUCAUGUCUGCUUCCCCUUGAAAAUUAGCAGGGCCACCUUUGGCACCAAGCUCAACCCCUCUGUGUUUGUCAACAGAUGAGCCUUGAGCAUUAACAGCUGCUAGAUCCAGGAGGCUGGAGAGUGAGUACUGCAGUCCUGGGACCUAGUUCAAAUUCUAGCACCUACAUUGUCAAACACACAAAAUAAGUUUGUUUGUCUAAAGUUGACAGGUCAAUUUUGUGACGGGAGUAAAAUGUACCAGAAUGUAUGUUAGAAGUUAUUAACUUGAUUGUUGUAUAGAAUGAAUGUACAGACUUACAGUGCAUACACCUGUCUACAGGUGCCUUUCUGUGAAGGAGGCUAAGCCAUAAAAGUAAGACUGUUGCCUGCGACAGGUGUGCGGAGGUUAAGAAAGUAUGUGAUGAAGCUGCACAAUUUAUCACUUGAAUGAAUGAGAAACUGCGAAUCUAGACACCCAGAGGACUGGACAUGUACAGCCUGUUAUCUAAGAAAACCUAAGUCCGGGCACUAUGGAAAGCAUUGCUUUGUGACUAUUCCUGGAAGAAAGGUACCAUACUGCCCCUGAGGAAUGGAAACUGAGCAGGCCUCUUGAUUUCUGCCACACUUCACCUGAAGAGAACAGCACUGUGCACUUGUCUAGCCUCAGAUACUAAAAUUUAGCCAGGGGUGGUGGAACACUCCUGUUGGCCACAGCAUUGGAAGGUAGAGGCAGGAAGACCAGGGUAAAUGCUAUUCUCUCAGCUACAUAGUAAAUUUGAGGCUAGCCUGGACUACACAAAACCCUGUCUUAAAAAAUAUUUAAAGUCCUCUCAGAGUAAGGAAUUCAGUUCCACCCUUAGAGAUUUUUCUCCUCUACUUUAAAGCUUUAUAAAAUGAGUAGAUUAAUCUCUGCAUGGACUUCUGUAGCCACCACUGCUUCCCCAAGGGUGCAUCCCUGUUUGGUGAUGAACCAUCAGGGGUUAUGUCCAAUUGCAGGUUCUAAUCCUGUGCAGCCUGGCAUAUACCUUCUGACAUGGGUUCUCUUUCCCAACUAUAGGUUCCUCCCCAAUAGAUUUGCUCUUAAGAGACUUUCUAAGCCCGUGCUUUUCAGCUAGCACAAAAUCCAGAUUCCUCUAGCACAGUGAUUCUCAACCAUCCUAAUGCUGAGACCCUUUAAUACAAUUCCUCAUGUUGUGGUGACCCCCAACCAUAAAAUUACUUUGUUGCUACCUGACAACUAAUUUUGCUAGUGUUAUGAAUCGUAAUGUGCAUUAUCUGAUAUGUAGGCUAUCUUAUAUGCAGCCCUUGUAAAAGGGUUGUUUGACACCCAAAAGGAGCCACAACCCACAAGUUGAGAACCACUUCUCUAGCAGAACCUUGGAACAGAUUUCGUUUCUCAACUCAGGUUAUUUAGGUGUCUAGCAAGGUAUCAUUGGGUUAUCUCAAAGACAGGCCUACCUAACACCAGACUAACUCAUUAUUUCUCACCAACACCUUUAGAUUUAGUCAAUCGAUUUAGUCUAUACUACCUUUCAUGCUGAUGGAGAGUUUUGUUGACUGCUCCAUGACAAACCUGCAAAGGAAUCACCUCUGGGACUGUGCUUGCCAUCCGAGGUAAGAGAACUUAAGAGGAUCUCUGUUCAGUCUGUCAAAUCAGACCCAGCCAUAAUAUCAAAAAAACUCCACACUCUGCUUUGACAGCAUGUCAGUUUUCUAGCUUCUAGUUAAGGUGAAAACCAGGACUGCCUCAGAGGAAGCCAACCCUCUGGGCUGCUGUGAGGCCACACUAUAGCCAAGACCAACUUGGCUCUGAAGUGGUUAUAGUUGCAAACCAGGCUUGGAAAUAGGUAAAGAUAGACAGUGAUCACAGUUGUUUUUUUUUUUAAAAAAAAGCUUUUAAUGCGACCUCUUGGUGGUCCAUAAUCUUUACAGAGGCCGCUAAUGGGCCAGGAGGGCAUCUGUCAGCAUUCAUCAUUGAUUGUCUUGGUUAAAAUUCCUUGGCUAAGAGCUUUGUUCUUUUUCAGCUGUACUGUACAGCCUUGUGCAAGCUGAGCAAGUACUCUAGCAACUGAUCUCUGUCCUCAGUCACCCUACCUACACCCUUUUCUUUAAAUCCUUGGUGCCAAUUCCAGACCAGCCUUGACUCCUACUACUUAUACUGACAUGAUCUGGCUCCAGACUCUAACCUCUUUUAAGAAUAAAAAUAAAGACUUGUUUUAGACUCUGAGCAAAUAUAGCUAGGAUAUAUUCCAGAUUGGGUCUCAACUUAAUCUAAAAGAAGGGAGGGGAUCCUGUUUAACUAGGUUCUCAAUUCAAGGUUUGUGUUACAGUAGGGACUGAUGUGUUUCCACAGUCCAGUUAGUAUGAGGCUUCAUUACCACAGGCUACUGAGCAGAGGUCCCUUCCCCUUUAUCAAGAUAAAAGUCCUUCAUCGAGUGAUAGUCUUUGAUCAUUUGCCUUGCUGAGUCUUGGAGCUAAACGUGCAGGGCCUCAAGCCUAUCUAGCAUGUCUUCUCCCUCGUUCCUGGAUGAUGGGGCCAGCCAAGAGCUGCAUGGGCCUUAGGCUCCUCCUGAUCAUCACAAUGCACCCUGGGUUCUGUUUUAAUUCUGCAGUGUCCAUCCAGGGAACAGGGCUGGCCUCCAUCUGCCUGGGUCAUAUGACCAUCUUCUAUGUGGUCUCACCUAAGAGACCCCCUACUCCAGGGUCAUCCUGUUUUUCUCGUGUUUGUUGCUAUUUUUCUUUCUUUUGUUCUGAUGCUUCUGUUGGACUUGCCUCCACGGUGGGCUCUGGCUCUGGCUCCAGUGGAAGUGAUGGUGGCUUUGUGAGCUGGGCCCCUACAGCACCUUGCAAGGAAACAAAACUUGAAUUCUUAGUUACUCCAUUUCGGAAGAAAUCAUUUAAGAGGGAAUUCUGUACUGUCUGAGACUAUCAAGACUGUAGUGCAUCCUGCAGCUAGGAGGAACACCCAUAACCAAAGGAAUAAAACACUAAACUUGUGAAAAUUAAAGCAAAAAUUUACAACA